rnacentral:tRNA from 1 species
UCCGCGAUAGCUCAAUGGUAGAGCACCUGGCUGUUAACCAGGUUGUUGUAGGUUCGAGUCCUACUCGCGGAG